rnacentral:rRNA from 1 species
UACAGAGGUCUCAAGCGUUGUUCGGAUUCAUUGGGCGUAAAGGGUGUGUAGGUGGCGCGCUAAGUCGGGUGUGAAAUUUCGGAGCUUAACUCCGAAACUGCAUUCGAUACUGGCGUGCUUGAGGACUGGAGAGGAGACUGGAAUUCAUGGUGUAGCAGUGAAAUGCGUAGAGAUCAUGAGGAAAACAAGUGGCAAAGGCGGGUCUCUGAACAGUUCCUGCAACUGAGAACCAAGGGCCAGGGAAGCAACGGG